GGUGAAUCUGAAUAACUACGUAAAUCGCACAGUCAAAGAACUGGCGAUAAGUCUUUCAAGUGUCUGCCUUAUCAACUUUCGAUGGUAGUUUAUAUGCCUACCAUGGUAAUAACGGGUAACGGAGAAUUAGGGUUCGACUCCGGAGAGGGAGCCUGAGAAAUGGCUACCACAUCC
rnacentral:rRNA from 1 species